rnacentral:rRNA from 1 species
CGACCUGGUGGUUAUGGCGGAGCGGCUGCACCCGAUCCCAUUCCGAACUCGGCCGUGAAACGCUCCAGCGCCAAUGGUACUUCAUCUUAAGAUGCGGGAGAGUAGGUCGCUGCCAGGUCU